AGCCUCAUACAAAUUCAGUGGUAUGAAUGCAUACCCUUAAAGUACCCACACAACAAGCGUCCUGUCAAUAUAUCAUAUUCAAAUUCUGAAAGCAUUUAUACACUGUAUUCAGGACAUCUUUAAGGUUGACUCGUAAAUCAAACACCGCAUUUGUCCGUAGACAUAGAUGUGAGAGCGAGUCAUUUAAAACUAUCCACUAU
rnacentral:lncRNA from 1 species